GGUUGAUCCUGCCGGACCCCACUGCUAUCGGGAUAGGACUAAGACAUGCUAGUCGAGCGCCUCCCAGCCACGACGGAGGCGCGGCGUACAGCUCAGUAACACGUGGCUAACCUGCCCUCGGGACGGGAAUACCCCCGGGAAACUGGGGCUAAUCCCCGAUAGGUGAAGAACUCUGGAAUGAGUCUCCGCCCAAAAGACGCUUAAAUCAUGCUUUUAGGCGCCACCCAAGGAUGGGGCCGCGACCGAUCAGGUAGUUGGUGAGGCAACGGCUCACCAAGCCUUUAACCGGUGCGGGCCGUGAGAGCGGGAGCCCGGAGAUGGGCACUGAGACAAGGGCCCAGGCCCUACGGGGCGCAGCAGUCGCGAAAACUUUGCAAUACACGAAAGUGUGACAGGGCUA
rnacentral:rRNA from 1 species